GUACUACUCCCUCCGUCCCAAAAUUUUUGUCUUAAAUUUGUCUAAAUACGGAUGUAUCUAAUUACAUUUUAGUGUUAGAUACAUCCGUAUCUAAACAAAUGUAAGACAAGAAUUUUGGGACGGAGGGAAUACUUG
rnacentral:pre_miRNA from 1 species